CUUCUCCUUCUCCUUCUUCUUCUUCUCCUUCUUCUUCCUCCUCUUCUUCUUCUCCCCCGCGCGUCUCUCCCUGCGCCGAGCAGAGCGCGGCCUCCGCGUCCCCGGCUGAAUGGAGGGGGAGUUGUCCCCGUGCAUUACAAUGACAUUCGGGCCCCCAUUGAAUUCUGCCACUGUCUAACGGUCUUUGGACAGCAAAUGCACCCCCAUCGGGGGGUCGCAACCCCCUCGUUACACCCCCCCCACCCCCCCUCCCAUCCCAUCACGCAGCCCGCCACAAAAGCCCCAACAAAAGAGAGGAGAGUCGGCCCAGUUGUGCGAGUUGCGCCCCCUGGACUUUUUGAGUGCAGAGAGCCAGAAGGACCCUCCAGUAUUGUCCUGGGAGAGAAAGAGAAACACGUUGACAAAGGAAUCCAUUGUUCCUGGCGAACAAUUCAAGGGGCCUAGUAAGCUGUCCUCUACGAUCAGGCAGCCGGCCGCUGAUUUGAAUGCAAGGGGCCCCUCCAAGGAGAAAUGGUAAUAUAUGGCAAGAUAUAACCAACAGCAGCCCAUAUGCAACCGUGCACGUUGGCUGUACACACACACACACACACACACACACACAGGAAACAGAGAGCUGGGAGGAAAACUUUCUUUACUCUGGAUGUGUUUCACCUGCUCCCAGGAUUCGUCCCACUUGGUCCCCAGUAAAGAUAAAUUGGUCCACGUGUUUACAGGUGAGUUUCAUGGGAAUAAAACAUUGAUAUUUCCCCCGCGCAUGCUACCUGUUCUUAAUAAUAAUCUUAAUUUAUAUAUAUUCUUCUAUAACUAAAAUUGUUCCUGGGUUCCCACGGUCACGUUAGAAAAUAGGAUGAUAAAUAAUAAAGUUAAGGCGCAGCUAACACUUCUCCACAAAGUCACGGGUAGGAUGACUUUUAUUUUUAUUUUUAUAUCUAUUGUUUAAAAUUAGUUUUAAUCCACUGAUCCUUUUUUUUAUUCCAGUGUUUUCCAGUAAUUUAAUUUAAUUUAGUUUCGUUCUCAUCCCAGCUACUAACAAGCAAUAAAAGAUGAAUUAUUUUACACACACACACACACACAAACACACAAAUAAAUAUUCAUACAAACAUAUCCGCACAAAAGGAGACCAAAUGCAAAAGAGCAAAGGCGGCGAGUCAGAGCUGCAGAGGAAGAAUCCCAAAGAAGCGAAAUCCUGAAUGUCACUUGUCAUCAUAUCGCAGCGAGCAAAGCGGGCCAGCGUGUCAAGAGGCAGACUGUCACUGGUGUGUCUCUACACGCAUGACACACACACACACACUGUAAAAAACAAAAGCAUUAUUCCCCCAAAUCAUUUUGUACACACGGCUCAA
ensembl:lncRNA